AGUUCGGAUCGCAGGCUGCAACUCGCCUGCGUGAAGUUGGAAUUGCUAGUAAUCGCGGAUCAGCAUGCCGCGGUGAAUACGUUCCCGGGCCUUGUACACACCGCCCGUCACACCAUGGGAGUUUGUAACACCCGAAGUCAGUAUCCUAACCGCAAGGGGGGGAGCUGCCGAAGGUGGGGAUAAGCGACUGGGGUGAAGUCGUAACAAGGUAGC
rnacentral:rRNA from 1 species